rnacentral:rRNA from 1 species
AAAUUGAAGAGUUUGAUCAUGGCUCAGAUUGAACGCUGGCGGCAGGCCUAACACAUGCAAGUCGAGCGGAAACGAGUUGUCUGAACCUUCGGGGGACGAUAACGGCGUCGAGCGGCGGACGGGUGAGUAAUGCCUAGGAAAUUGCCCUGAUGUGGGGGAUAACCAUUGGAAACGAUGGCUAAUACCGCAUGAUGCCUACGGGCCAAAGAGGGGGACCUUCGGGCCUCUCGCGUCAGGAUAUGCCUAGGUGGGAUUAGCUAGUUGGUGAGGUAAGGGCUCACCAAGGCGACGAUCCCUAGCUGGUCUGAGAGGAUGAUCAGCCACACUGGAACUGAGACACGGUCCAGACUCCUACGGGAGGCAGCAGUGGGGAAUAUUGCACAAUGGGCGCAAGCCUGAUGCAGCCAUGCCGCGUGUGUGAAGAAGGCCUUCGGGUUGUAAAGCACUUUCAGUCGUGAGGAAGGCGGUGUAGUUAAUAGCUGCAUC